AAGCAAAUAUGUUUAAAGGAGACAAACUUGUUGAGGUCCUUGAAGUUAGCAGCUGCACUUGAAAACCAGAGGUCUCAUCUUUCUGAGCCUCAGUUUCCUCAUUUGGCAAACUGACAACUCCUGUUCUUGUGAGUGCCCUUCAGAAGUGAUUUUUUGGCAAAUCUAUAGUUCCUUAAAGAAAUUUACCCUACUCAAGCAGUGGUAUAUGAAUUUUGUGUCUAUUGAAAGAACUUGGAUGGGCCAAGGGAGAGAGCAUGUCCUGCAUUCAAGUAUAAACACAAUGUGAAGAAACUGGAUGAAGGAAACUUGAACUCUGGCAGAAAGGGGAGCUUGUCCAUAGAAGGCUGGGGAUAAUCUGCCACUGUAGUAUGUAAAUAUAGUAUAGUUUGUAUGUUCAGUAUAGAAAUGAUACAAAACCUUAUAGAGAACGUUUAGGCAGGUGAGGAUAAAAAGAAACAAGCAAAAUACUUAGAUAUAAUAUGAAAUUUUCCUGUUCUGGAAAAAUAGCUCAGACUCUUGCAGCACCCUACAGCUGCAUCAGCUUCCAUCACAUAAAAGACAUACCAUCUAGACUGAUCUUCUAAAUUGCU